GACGAACGCUGGCGGCGUGCUUAACACAUGCAAGUCGAACGGAAAGGCCCUGCUUGCAGGGUACUCGAGUGGCGAACGGGUGAGUAACACGUGGGUGAUCUGCCCUGCACUUCGGGAUAAGCCUGGGAAACUGGGUCUAAUACCGGAUAGGAGCCAUUUUUAGUGUGAUGGUUGGAAAGUUUUUUCGGUGUAGGAUGAGCUCGCGGCCUAUCAGCUUGUUGGUGGGGUAAUGGCCUACCAAGGCGGCGACGGGUAGCCGGCCUGAGAGGGUGGACGGCCACAUUGGGACUGAGAUACGGCCCAGACUCCUACGGGAGGCAGCAGUGGGGAAUAUUGCACAAUGGGCGCAAGCCUGAUGCAGCGACGCCGCGUGGGGGAUGACGGCCUUCGGGUUGUAAACUCCUUUCGCUAGGGACGAAGCUUUUUGUGACGGUACCUAGAUCAGAAGCACCGGCUAACUACGU
rnacentral:rRNA from 1 species